UACGUAGGGUGCAAGCGUUGUCCGGAAUUAUUGGGCGUAAAGAGCUCGUAGGCGGUUUGUCGCGUCUGCUGUGAAAACUCAGGGCUUAACUCUGAGCUUGCAGUGGGUACGGGCAGACUAGAGUGCGGUAGGGGAGACUGGAAUUCCUGGUGUAGCGGUGAAAUGCGCAGAUAUCGGGAGGAACAUCGAUGGCGAAGGCGGGAUCCUGGGCCAGUACUGACGCUGAGGAGCGAAAGCGUGGGGAGCAAACAGG
rnacentral:rRNA from 1 species